rnacentral:lncRNA from 1 species
AGUUACAACCAACUGACUUCUUGCCAGGGGGAAGGGGAACCAGUGACCAGGUAUUAUUGCCUUCCAAAGCAGCAAAUUCCUUGGCCAUUGCCUCCUGCCAAGCAGGAACAGAGGCAGCCUGCUUGUAAGAGGUAGGCUCAGCCUCUGGAGAGCUAACCAAACUAUGAAGACAAGUGGAAGAAGAACUGGUAUAAUUCCAAGCAGGAACAGAGGCAGCCUGCUUGUAAGAGGUAGGCUCAGCCUCUGGAGAGCUAACCAAACUGUGAAGACAAGUGGAAGAAGAACUGGUGCCAAAAAUAGAGGAAGGGAGAGUGCAGACAUACUGCUGAAAGUGAGCAGGAAGAACAUGUGUCCUAGUGGAUCUUCUGGGAAGAGAGGAGGCGGGCACUGAAGGAUUGUGGGAUUGGGAAGAGGAAGGGGAGGCAAGAGGAGGUUGGGGGAUGGAUGAAGAAGGAGAAGAUAGAAAGUCAUCAACAGGAGGAACCCAGGCAGAAGAAGGGGAAGGAGGGGGAAAGGGACAAUGGGAAGAGUGCCCUGGAGAAGCAAAAGGAAAGACAUCCUCAUGAAAAUUGACAUCCCUGGAGAUCAUAGUAAGUUUGGACUGCAAGUUGUACAGUUUGUAACCCUU